rnacentral:rRNA from 1 species
AUACGUAGGAUCCGAGCGUUAUCCGGAUUUAUUGGGUUUAAAGGGUGCGCAGGCGGCCAUUUAAGUCAGCGGUUAAAUCGUGGGGCUCAACCCCAUUCUGCCGUUGAUACUGGGUGGCUUGAUUGCGGUCGAGGUUGGCGGAAUUCGUUGUGUAGCGGUGAAAUGCAUAGAUAUGACGAAGAACACCGAUUGCGUAGGCAGCUGACCAGACCGCAAAUGACGCUCAUGCACGAAAGUGCGGGGAUCGAACAGGAUUAGAUACCCUGGUAGUCCGCACAGUAAACGAUGAAUACUUGUUUUCGGCGAUAUAAUGUCGGAGGCAAAGCGAAAGCGAUAAGUAUUUCACCUGGGGAGUACGCCGGCAACGGUGAAACUCAAAGGAAUUGACGGGG